CCUACGGGUGGCAGCAGUGAGGAAUAUUGGUCAAUGGGCGCGAGCCUGAACCAGCCAAGUAGCGUGAAGGAUGACUGCCCUACGGGUUGUAAACUUCUUUUAUAAAGGAAUAAAGUGAGGCACGUGUGCCUGUUUGAAUGUACUUUAUGCAUAAGCAUCGGCUAACUCCGUGCCAGCAGCCGCGGGAAUACGUAGGGGGCAAGCGUUAUCCGGAUUUACUGGGUGUAAAGGGAGCGGAGACGGUGCAGCAAGUCUGAUGUGAAAGGUCGGGGCCCAACCCCGGGACUGCAUUGGAAACUGGUGAACUGGAGUACAGGAGAGGUAAGCGGAAUUCCUAGUGUAGCGGUGAAAUGCGUAGAUAUUAGGAAGAACCCCGAUUGCGAAGGCAGCCUUCCGGCGCCCUACUGACGCUGAGGCACGAAAGUGCGGGGAUCGAACAGGAUUAGAUACCCUUGUAGUC
rnacentral:rRNA from 1 species